ensembl:lncRNA
CUUGGCAGGAAAUAGCUGAACAAGUCAAUGCCAAAUCGAAAAAAUGCAGAGGUCCGGCAGACUGGAGGGGGUCCGCACCUGCAGCCCUCACAGAGGCUGAGGAGAUGGCCCUCAGCCAACAGAGUAUGCGUCCUGUGGCUGAGGGCAUCCCUGGGGGGAGCUCCUCUGAUCCCCCCAACCCCCCAGGAUAGAAGUGCCUUUACAGUAUAAGAGUUACUGAUGGCGUCAUCGCCCUACUUGAACCAGAUGCCCUCACCAACCUCCAUGCAAUUGUAACAAUUCAAAAGAUGCAAAAGGAUGCUUUGGAGAUCCAAAUUUUGGAACAUAAGUUAUAAGUGGGUGAGGUGCAAACUGGGAUACUGUUCCCUGCUCUAAAAACAUACCCAAUAUAAAUGACUUUUUUUUUUUGUG